GAUCAUGGCUCAGGAUGAACGCUAGCUACAGGCUUAACACAUGCAAGUCGAGGGGAAACGACAUCGAAAGCUUGCUUUUGAUGGGCGUCGACCGGCGCACGGGUGAGUAACGCGUAUCCAACCUGCCCACCACUUGGGGAUAACCUUGCGAAAGUAAGACUAAUACCCGAUGAUAUCUCUAGACGACAUCUGAAAGGGAUUAAAGAUUUAUCGGUGAUGGAUGGGGAUGCGUCUGAUUAGCUUGUUGGCGGGGUAACGGCCCACCAAGGCUACGAUCAGUAGGGGUUCUGAGAGGAAGGUCCCCCACAUUGGAACUGAGACACGGUCCAAACUCCUACGGGAGGCAGCAGUGAGGAAUAUUGGUCAAUGGGCGAGAGCCUGAACCAGCCAAGUAGCGUGCGGGACGACGGCCCUAUGGGUUGUAAACCGCUUUUGAUUGGGAACAAAGAGCGCCACGUGUGGUGCGUUGCGUGUACCUUUCGAAUAAGCAUCGGCUAAUUCCGUG
rnacentral:rRNA from 1 species